AUCUCUGAAGCGCAAUAUAUAGCGCGUUGGACCUCUAAUCUAAAGGUCGUGGGUUCGAAUUCCACCUAGGAUG